rnacentral:ncRNA from 2 species
UACGGAGGGUGCUAGCGUUAUCCGGAAUCACUGGGCGUAAAGGGCGCGUAGGCGGUCUGUUAAGUCCGAUGUUAAAGACUGGGGCUCAACCCCAGCAUUGCGUUGGAUACUGGCAGGCUUGACGGUUGGAGAGGCGAGUGGAAUUACCAGUGUAGCGGUGAAAUGCGUAGAUACUGGUAGGAACACCCAUUGCGAAGGCAGCUCGCUGGACAACACGUGACGCUGAGGCGCGAAAGUGUGGGGAGCAAACCGG